GUCUAUGGUCAUACCACCCUGAACGUACCCAAUCUCAUCUUAUCUCAGAAGCCAAGCAGGGUCAGGACUGGUUAGUACAUGGAUGGGAGAAAAACAAUAUUUUGAAAC
rnacentral:rRNA from 1 species